AUGGCUGUGUGUAACAAGAAAGAGGGGUUGGGGAAGAGAGAGAGGGCACAAAGGGGAGAGGGGGAGUACCUGCAUGUGAAGGGGAGGCUGGCCUCGCCGGCGUCCGUCCGACCCGUUCCAGAUCGGGAACCCGGGAGAAGGUGCGGAGAGGUAGGGGCAUCCCCGUCGCUCACCGGCACUCGCCGUCAGCUGCAUCGAUCUAGCCACCACCAGGACGCUCUAACUUCUUCCGGGGUCUCCUUUUCUUCUUCCAGAUUGCGACCAGAAGCACCCCCGAGAGAGAGGGGGCUUGGGGAGGUCGCUGACGAGGGUGGGCUAGGCCAUGGUGGUAGGGAGGACGUGAGAGAGGAGGCGGAGAUGGGCGGCGCGAGGCGAGGUGGGGUCAUGGGGAGGAAGCGCGAGAGGAGGGAGGCGCCUGCAGAGGGCUCUAGGGUUCCUUUUACCCAGGCCACGAUUGGCAAGGACGCGAUGCACACCUCGUGUACCAAAAACUGGAGAAAACUCACAUCAGUAGCAUGA
rnacentral:rRNA from 1 species